CCUACGGGGGGGCAGCAGUGGGGAAUAUUGGACAAUGGGGGGAACCCUGAUCCAGCCAUGCCGCGUGUGUGAAGAAGGCCCUCGGGUUGUAAAGCACUUUCAGUGAGGAAGAACGCCUGGUGGUUAAUACCCAUCAGGAAAGACAUCACUCACAGAAGAAGCACCGGCUAACUCCGUGCCAGCAGCCGCGGUAAUACGGAGGGUGCGAGCGUUAAUCGGAAUUACUGGGCGUAAAGCGCGCGUAGGUGGCUUGAUAAGCCGGUUGUGAAAGCCCCGGGCUCAACCUGGGAACGGCAUCCGGAACUGUCAAGCUAGAGUGCAGGAGAGGAAGGUAGAAUUCCCGGUGUAGCGGUGAAAUGCGUAGAGAUCGGGAGGAAUACCAGUGGCGAAGGCGGCCUUCUGGACUGACACUGACACUGAGGUGCGAAAGCGUGGGUAGCAAACAGGAUUAGAUACCCGUGUAGUC
rnacentral:rRNA from 1 species